GACAGAGGUGCCGAGCGUUAGGCGGAAUCACUGGGCUUAAAGCGUGUGUAGGCGGGCCGUUAAGUAUCUUGUGAAAUCCCCCGGCUCAACCGGGGAAUGGCUGGAUAUACUGGCGGUCUUGAGCGAUCUAGGGGCAGAUGGAACAAGUGGUGGAGCGGUGAAAUGCGUAGAUAUCACUUGGAACGCCAAGGGUGAAAACAGUCUGCUGGGGAUCUGCUGACGCUGAGACACGAAAGCCAGGGGAGCGAACAGG
rnacentral:rRNA from 1 species